CCUACGGGAGGCAGCAGUAAGGAAUAUUGGUCAAUGGGCGCAAGCCUGAACCAGCCAUGCCGCGUGCAGGAAGACGGCCCUAUGGGUUGUAAACUGCUUUUGAACAAGAGAAAACCUCGGUACGUGUACCGAGCUGAUAGUAUUGUUAGAAUAAGCAUCGGCUAACUUCGUGCCAGCAGCCGCGGUAAGACGAAGGAUGCAAGCGUUAUCCGGAUUCAUUGGGUUUAAAGGGUGCGUAGGCGGCCUGAUAAGUCAGUGGUGAAAUCUCUCAGCUUAACUGAGAAACUGCCAUUGAUACUGUCGGGCUUGAGUACAGAUGAUGUGGGCGGAAUAUGACAUGUAGUGGUGAAAUACUUAGAUAUGUCAUAGAACACCGAUUGCGAAGGCAGCUCACAAAACUGUAAACUGACGCUGAGGCACGAAAGUGCGGGGAUCAAACAGGAUUAGAUACCCUGGUAGUCCGCACCGUAAACGAUGAUUACUCGUUGUUGGCAAUAUGACCGUCAGCGACCAAGCGAAAAGCGAUAAGAAUCCACCUGGGGAGUACGCCGGCAACGGUGAAACUCAAANAGAGUUAGAGNGNGAGAGNGCGAGGCGACACGAGGGAGAGG
rnacentral:rRNA from 1 species